GAUGAACGCUGGCGGCGUGCCUAAUACAUGCAAGUCGAGCGAACGGACGAGAAGCUUGCUUCUCUGAUGUUAGCGGCGGACGGGUGAGUAACACGUGGAUAACCUACCUAUAAGACUGGGAUAACUUCGGGAAACCGGAGCUAAUACCGGAUAAUAUUUUGAACCGCAUGGUUCAAAAGUGAAAGACGGUCUUGCUGUCACUUAUAGAUGGAUCCGCGCUGCAUUAGCUAGUUGGUAAGGUAACGGCUUACCAAGGCAACGAUGCAUAGCCGACCUGAGAGGGGUAUCGGCCACACUGGAACUGAGACACGGUCCAGACUCCUACGGGAGGCAGCAGUAGGGAAUCUUCCGGAAUGGGCGAAAGCCUGACGGAGCAACGCCGCGUGAGUGAUGAAGGUCUUCGGAUCGUAAAACUCUGUUAUUAGGGAAGAACAUAUGUGUAAGUAACUGUGCACAUCUUGACGGUACCUAAUCAGAAAGCCACGGCUAACUACGUG
rnacentral:rRNA from 1 species